AAAACUGAGACAAAAGAGAAGACAAGGUUUAACACCUUCAUCCAACGACAAUAACCAGGUCCCCCAUGCCGCUUGGAUCUAUGAGGAGAUUAACCACACCAACCAUGUUUCUGACUCAGAUACUGACAUUUA